rnacentral:rRNA from 1 species
UACGUAGGGUGCGAGCGUUAAUCGGAAUUACUGGGCGUAAAGCGUGCGCAGGCGGCGCGUUAAGACAGGUGUGAAAGCCCCGAGCUUAACUUGGGAAUUGCGCUUGUGACUGGCGUUGCUGGAGUGUGGCAGAGGGGAGGUGGAAUUCCACGUGUAGCAGUGAAAUGCGUAGAGAUGUGGAGGAACACCGAUGGACGAAGGCAGCCUCCUGGGCCAGCACUGACGCUCAUGCACGAAAGCGUGGGGAGCAAACCAGG